AAGACGGUCUUGCUGUCACUUAUAGAUGGAUCCGCGCUGCAUUAGCUAGUUGGUAAGGUAACGGCUUACCAAGGCAACGAUGCAUAGCCGACCUGAGAGGGUGAUCGGCCACACUGGAACUGAGACACGGUCCAGACUCCUACGGGAGGCAGCAGUAGGGAAUCUUCCGCAAUGGGCGAAAGCCUGACGGAGCAACGCCGCGUGAGUGAUGAAGGUCUUCGGAUCGUAAAACUCUGUUAUUAGGGAAGAACAUAUGUGUAAGUAACUGUGCACAUCUUGACGGUACCUAAUCAGAAAGCCACGGCUAACUACGUGCCAGCAGCCGCGGUAAUACGUAGGUGGCAAGCGUUAUCCGGAAUUAUUGGGCGUAAAGCGCGCGUAGGCGGUUUUUUAAGUCUGAUGUGAAAGCCCACGGCUCAACCGUGGAGGGUCAUUGGAAACUGGAAAACUUGAGUGCAGAAGAGGAAAGUGGAAUUCCAUGUGUAGCGGUGAAAUGCGCAGAGAUAUGGAGGAACACCAGUGGCGAAGGCGACUUUCUGGUCUGUAACUGACGCUGAUGUGCGAAAGCGUGGGGAUCAAACAGGAUUAGAUACCCUGGUAGUCCACGCCGUAAACGAUGAGUGCUAAGUGUUAGGG
rnacentral:rRNA from 1 species